rnacentral:tRNA from 1 species
UGGGGUGUCGCCAAGUGGUAAGGCAGCGGUUUUUGGUACCGCCAUUCAGAGGUUCGAAUCCUUUCACCCCAA